GCCUGUAAGACUGGGAUAACUCCGGGAAACCGGGGCUAAUACCGGAUGGUUGUUUGAACCGCAUGGUUCAAACAUAAAAGGUGGCUUCGGCUACCACUUACAGAUGGACCCGCGGCGCAUUAGCUAGUUGGUGAGGUAACGGCUCACCAAGGCAACGAUGCGUAGCCGACCUGAGAGGGUGAUCGGCCACACUGGGACUGAGACACGGCCCAGACUCCUACGGGAGGCAGCAGUAGGGAAUCUUCCGCAAUGGACGAAAGUCUGACGGAGCAACGCCGCGUGAGUGAUGAAGGUUUUCGGAUCGUAAAGCUCUGUUGUUAGGGAAGAACAAGUACCGUUCGAAUAGGGCGGUACCUUGACGGUACCUAACCAGAAAGCCACGGCUAACUACGUGCCAGCAGCCGCGGUAAUACGUAGGUGGCAAGCGUUGUCCGGAAUUAUUGGGCGUAAAGGGCUCGCAGGCGGUUUCUUAAGUCUGAU
rnacentral:rRNA from 1 species